rnacentral:rRNA from 1 species
AUUGAACGCUGGCGGCAUGCCUUACACAUGCAAGUCGAACGGCAGCACGGGAGCAAUCCUGGUGGCGAGUGGCGAACGGGUGAGUAAUAUAUCGGAACGUGCCCAGUCGUGGGGAUAACGUAGCGAAAGCUACGCUAAUACCGCAUACGAUCUAUGGAUGAAAGCGGGGGAUCGCAAGACCUCGCGCGAUUGGAGCGGCCGAUAUCAGAUUAGGUAGUUGGUGAGGUAAAGGCUCACCAAGCCGACGAUCUGUAGCUGGUCUGAGAGGACGACCAGCCACACUGGGACUGAGACACGGCCCAGACUCCUACGGGAGGCAGCAGUGGGGAAUUUUGGACAAUGGGCGCAAGCCUGAUCCAGCAAUGCCGCGUGCAGGAUGAAGGCCUGGUGU